rnacentral:rRNA from 1 species
UACGUAGGGGGCGAGCGUUGUCCGGAUUUAUUGGGCGUAAAGAGCUCGUAGGCGGUUCGGUAAGUCGGAUGUGAAAUCUCCACGCUCAACGUGGAGGGGCCAUUCGAUACUGCCGUGACUCGGGUCCGGUAGGGGAGUGUGGAAUUCCCGGUGUAGCGGUGAAAUGCGCAGAGAUCGGGAGGAACACCCGUAGCGAAGGCGGCACUCUGGGCCGGUACUGACGCUGAGGAGCGAAAGCGUGGGGAGCGAACAGG